AAACGAUGCGAACUGGAUGUUGGGUGCAAUUUGGCACGCAGUAUCGAAGCUAACGCGUUAAGUUCGGCGCCUGGGGAGUACGGUCGCAAGACUGAAACUCAAAGGAAUUGACGGGGGCCCGCACAAGCGGUGGAGUAUGUGGUUUAAUUCGAUGCAACGCGAAGAACCUUACCUGGUCUUGACAUGUCGAGAACUUUCCAGAGAUGGAUUGGUGCCUUCGGCAACUGGAACACAGGUGCUGCAUGGCUGUCGUCAGCUCGUGUCGUGAGAUGUUGGGUUAAGUCCCGCAACGAGCGCAACCGUUGUCCUUAGUUGCCAGCACGUAAUGGUGGGAACUCUAAGGAGACCGCCGGUGACAAACCAGGAGGAAGGUGGGGAUGACGUCAACUAGUCAUCAUGGCCCUUUACGACCAGGGCUACACACGUACUACAAUGGUAGGGACAGAGGGCUGCAAACCGCGCGAGGGCAAGCCAAUCCCAGAAACCCUAUCUCAGGUCCGGAUUGGCAGUCUGCAACUCGUACUCCAUGAAGUCGGAAUCGCUAGUACAUCGCAGAUCAGCAUUGCUGCGGUGAAUAACGUUCCCGGGGGCCUUGUACACACCGCCCUGUCACACCAUGGGAGUUUGCUUGCACCAGUAAGCAGGUAGCUUAACCUUCGGGAGGGCGACAAUAACUUGCCACGGUGUGCCGAUACUACG
rnacentral:rRNA from 1 species